GAUGAACGCUGGCGGCGUGCCUAAUACAUGCAAGUCGAGCGAAUGGAUUGAGAGCUUGCUCUUAUGAAGUUAGCGGCGGACGGGUGAGUAACACGUGGGUAACCUGCCCAUAAGACUGGGAUAACUCCGGGAAACCGGGGCUAAUACCGGAUAACAUUUUGAACCGCAUGGUUCGAAAUUGAAAGGCGGCUUCGGCUGUCACUUAUGGAUGGACCCGCGUCGCAUUAGCUAGUUGGUGAGGUAACGGCUCACCAAGGCAACGAUGCGUAGCCGACCUGGGAGGGUGAUCGGCCACACUGGGACUGAGCCCCGGCCCAGACUCCGACGGGAGGCAGCAGUAGGGAAUCUUCCGCAAUGGACGAAGGUCUGACGGAGCAACGCCGCGUGAGUGAUGAAGGCUUUCGGGUCGUAAAACUCUGUUGUUAGGGAAGAACAAGUGCUAGUUGAAUAAGCUGGCACCUUGACGGUACCUAACCAGAAAGCCACGGCUAACUACGUGCCAGCAGCCGCGGUAA
rnacentral:rRNA from 1 species